rnacentral:tRNA from 11 species
GGAGGAUUACCCAAGUGGCUUAAGGGGACGGUUUUGAAAACCGUUAGGCGGUUAUGCCGCGCGUGGGUUCAAAUCCCACAUCCUCCUCUA